UACGUAGGGUGCAAGCGUUAAUCGGAAUUACUGGGCGUAAAGCGUGCGCAGGCGGCUUUGCAAGACAGAUGUGAAAUCCCCGGGCUUAACCUGGGAACUGCAUUUGUGACUGCAUGGCUGGAGUGCGGCAGAGGGGGAUGGAAUUCCAGGUGUAGCGGUGAAAUGCGUAGAUAUCUGGAGGAACACCGGUGGCGAAGGCGGCAUCCUGGACCAUUACUGACGCUGAGGAGCGAAAGCCAGGGGAGCAAACGGG
rnacentral:rRNA from 1 species